rnacentral:rRNA from 1 species
UACGUAGGGUGCGAGCGUUAAUCGGAAUUACUGGGCGUAAAGCGUGCGCAGGCGGUUUGUUAAGUCUGAUGUGAAAGCCCCGGGCUCAACCUGGGAACUGCAUUGGAAACUGGCAAGCUCGAGUAUGGCAGAGGGGGGUGGAAUUCCGCGUGUAGCAGUGAAAUGCGUAGAGAUGCGGAGGAACACCGAUGGCGAAGGCAGCUCGCUGGGACGGUACUGACGCUGAGACGCGAAAGCGUGGGGAGCAAACAGG